UUGAGUUUGAUGAUGGCUCUGAGUGAACGCUGUCCAAAUGCUUGACACAUGCUAAUCGUACGACUUCGCUCAUAUUUUUAAAAUAUGAGCGAAGCAGUGGUGUACAGGUGAGUAUAAGAUAAUGUGACUGCCUUGGAGUAAGGAGAAAGAUCCCUUAUAAUAACAAAGGAACUAAGGUUUCGCUCUGAGAAGCAUGUAUCUCGUGUAGUUGUAGUAGUUAAAGUAGUGGUUUAACUAGCCUUUUACACGUAGUCGAAACUGAAAGGUUGAUCGAUCACAGUGGGACUGAAUAAAUCCCACGAUUAUUAUCACAGCAGUGAGGAAUAUUGGUCAAUAGCCUAACGGCUGAACCAGCAAUUUGGAAGAAUGUAUAGCAAUAGCUGAUUGCACCAACAAACAGUUGAUGCAAAAUUGAUUAUAUCAAAUAAAAUUCUAGGUAGAUUUUUGAUAAUGACAUUGCUUACCUAAGUCUUGACCAAAUUACGUGCCAGCAGUCGCGGUAAUACGUAAAAGACUAGUGUUAUUCAUCUUUAAUUGGUUUAAAGGGUACCUAGACAGCGAAUAAAGCCAUAGGAGGGACUAAUUCGCUAGAGUUACUUAUGAGGGGGUAUUAAAGUACUGCAGGUGUAGAGAUGAAAUUUUGUUAUACCUUUUUUCGUAUGAGAAACUAUGGCACAGGUAUAGGUGAAAGCAUCCCCUUAUGUGAUAACUGACGUUGAGGGACGAAGGCUUUGUGUCGCGAACAGGAUUAGAUACCCCAAUAGUCAAAGCAGAAAAUGAUGAAUGUCAUAGAUUAGAUCUGCAAUUUAUUCUAUAAAUGAAAGUGUAAGCAUUCCACCUCAAGAGUAAUUUGGCAACAUUGGAACUGAAAUCAUUAGACCGUUUCUGAAACCAGUAGUGAAGUAUGUUGUUUAAUUUGAUGAUACACAAAAAACCUUACCACAAUUUGAAUAUUUAUAUUUAUCUUUUAUUGAUUUCUACUAACAUAUUUGUAGACAAUUAAAAUGAUGCUUAUGUCCCAUUUAUGUGACUAAGCAUCAUAAAAGAGAAUAUAUUUACAAGCGUUGCACGGCUGUCUUCAGUUAAUGUCGCGAGAUUUUGGUUAGUUCCAUUAAAUUAACGUAAACCCUUACUUUAUUUAUAUAUAAAGUAGUUCUCCGCUAUAUUGGAUAUGAUAACAGGGACUAAGACAAGUCAUCAUGGCCUAAAUAUUGUGGGCUAUAGACGUGCCACAUAAACCUUACAAAAGGAUGUGAAAUUGUGAAAUUGAGCUAAUCCUCCAAAAAUGGAUAAACAUUUCAUGGAUUGCAGUCUGUAACUCGACUGCGUGAAAAAGGAAUUACUAGUAAUCGUGUAUAAGUACGGCACGGUGAAUCUAAUCUCAGAUAGGUACUAACUACUCGUCAGGCGCUGAAAAAAGUAUGUGCAAUAAGUUUGGCUAGUGCUUAUUUAAAUUUUGGGCGAUAUUGUUCAAAUACUUAGGCAUGUUGUCUUCGUAUGCGUGACUUUAAUUGGUGUUAAGUCGAAAUACGGUUCGUGUAGUGGAAGUUGCACGGGAUUUAUGUAUAUUAAAAUCACCCCUUGUGGAGCACCCCUCCCGGUUGUGAAAGAAUAAAAUAUGCCUAUUAAGUGGCUAUUUAUUUAGCUAAAAGGUAGAUAAAACUAAUUAAAA
rnacentral:rRNA from 1 species